rnacentral:tRNA from 1 species
GCACCCGUGGUGAAAUUGGCAGACACGUAAGAUUCAGGUUCUUAUGCCUUUAAAAGCGUGGAGGUUCGAGUCCUCUCGGGUGCACCA